rfam:Triticum aestivum genome assembly, contig: Triticum_aestivum_CS42_TGACv1_scaffold_220984_3B
UGUGUACUCCCUCCGUUCCAAAAUACUUGACUUCCAUUUGUCCAAAAAUGGAUGUGCCUAUAUACUAAAACAUGUCUAGAUACAUAUAUAUUUUGACAAAUAGAAGGCAUGUAUUGUGCAAUGGAGGGAGUAGAAU